CGGCAUAGCAGCUGUAAAUGAGGAGGGGGAAGGAAAGCGCCAGCGGGGGAGAGAAUUGCCUUUUCAAAGUUGGUUUCCCCUCGAAAAAAAAGUUGAAAAUUGCAAUUUAAUUAAUUUUUGACCAAAUACAACAACUAAAUCGAAAACAAACCAGAUCUUUGCAGUAAUAUGUUGCCUUUAAUUCAAUUGAAAAACCAACAACAAAAGUUAACGCAACGUUUCUAAAACUAAACUACAAAAAAUUAUAAGUAAUUUAAAUUAAAAAAAAAAAAAUUUUAAAAAAAUCAACCAAAAGUGGCCUGCAAAACCAAGCAAAUAAAACAACCAAGAAAUGUGAUUCAAAAGUGUGCAAUGUAACCAUAAAACGAUUAUUAGUAAAAAGUAAAAAAAAAAUACAAAAACUCAACAGAAAGAAAGUGAAAAAAAGCCAGGAAGAGACCCAAAAGCCAAAUGGAAAUCAAGGAGCACCAGCAAUCGAGCCAAUCAAAUAGCCUACUAGCUGCCAAAGUGGCCAAUGAUUAAGGGAACACUUUGUUAGCCAUCUCGUAGAAGCAGCAUCCCUGUCCACCCACCACAUAGACACACACACACACACAUAGACAUCCCCACACACACACACACUCUCCCAUACAUACGUGCAACCACUAAAACCCACUUUGCCACUAAACCACUCGGCCACCUACCGCAACCUUCGAUGCCCGGAAAGAAGGAGGCGUUGCAGCAACAAUUAUAGAAACAGAAUAGCAGGACAGGCAGUUGGAGAGACAACAGGAGAGACCCAGAGACCCUUUCCAGAGUUCCUUGAAGAAUCCUGGCCCAAAAGCCCCUAACAUGGACAUCAAGAUUGAACAGCAGCAGCAGCAACAACAGCAAGUGGAGCUGGGACCCUGUUCCCCAUCCGAGGUGCCCAAUGAUCCGGGAAAAAUGUUCAUUGGCGGCCUCAGUUGGCAGACAAGUCCAGAGAGCUUACGCGAUUACUUUGGACGUUAUGGUGAUAUCUCAGAGGCUAUGGUCAUGAAGGAUCCCACGACGCGCAGAUCCAGAGGCUUCGGCUUUGUCACAUUCAGCGAUCCAAAUAGCGUAGAUAAGGUACUCACCCAAGGCACACACGAGCUGGAUGGCAAAAAGGUCGAUCCGAAAGUAGCUUUUCCGCGCCGUGCACAUCCCAAGAUGGUGACGAGAACGAAGAAAAUCUUUGUGGGUGGCCUCUCGGCGCCCACCACACUGGAGGAUGUCAAAAGUUACUUCGAACAGUUUGGUCCGAUCGAGGAUGCCAUGUUGAUGUUCGACAAGCAGACCAAUCGGCACAGAGGUUUUGGCUUCGUUACAUUUCAAAGCGAAGAUGUGGUAGACAAAGUUUGCGAAAUUCAUUUCCACGAGAUAAACAACAAAAUGGUCGAAUGUAAGAAGGCGCAGCCCAAGGAAGUGAUGCUGCCAGCCAACCUGGCCAAGACACGGGCCGCCGGGCGUUCUGCAUACGAUAACAUCAUGUGGGGUCUGGGGACAUUGCCAGAAGGUUUUCCGGCAGCUGCCUAUGCUGCUUAUGCCGCUGGUCGUGGCUACUCGGGCUAUCCCAGCUUCGGUCUGCCCUAUCCAACUGUUGAUCUAACCAACGGGCAGCUGACCCCCAACAACAACACUCCGCUGCUGACCCAGGCGCUGUCAGUGAUGAACAACUACCAGGCUGCUGCCGCGGCCGCCCAUAGCUUUGGGCCAUCGGCAUCGCCUCAUGCCGCAGCCGCCACCACGGCCACCCGGCAGGGAUUCCCCUCGACCAACUCGCCCGGUCCGACCAUUGACAUGUACAGCUCGGCGGCCGCCGACAAUGUGGGCUACGUGCAGGCCACCAGCCCGCAACCGUCCGGCUUUCCGAUUGCCGUCAGCCGAGCUCCGUUAAACUACAGCCCGAUUUAUUCGUUGAACUUUGCGAUGGCUAAUAUAUAAAAAGACUGAUAACCCAAAAUAUAAAAAUGCAAAAAGAACAAAAACAAAAAGAAAAGCAAAAGCAAAAAUAAAACAAAAGAAAUGCAAAAGUAAAAAAAAGAAACCCCCAUUAUAUAUUUAAAUCGAAAAAUAUAUAUAUGUAUGAAAAAAUUGCAAAAUAAAAAAUAAAGAUAAACGAAAGCAAACAAAAGAAAUAAGAGUAUAAAACAAACGCAGUUGCACAAGGGACCACUAAUUCCUGCGGCAUUUACAAAUGGAUACCAUUAAAAGGUGGCGCCGACAACCGCAAUGACAACAACAACAACAUGAAUUAAAACAACAACAACAGAAGCAGCAGCAACAGCAACAGCAGUAAUAACAACAGCAACAGGAGACGCAGCAGAAGUAGCAAAAGCAGCAGCAGGACAUGCAACUUUAGCAACAAUGACAAAAACACACAAAUGUGUGUGUGUGUUUGUGUAAUGCUGCAACCACAGAGCGCUACAAAAAAGAAAAUAAUUUAAAGUUAUAUAUACACGUGAAUAUAUAUAUAUAUAUAUAAAUAUAAAUCAAAUAAAGUACAUAUUACAUAUAACACACUUGCAAAUACGCAAAUGCGUGUAUUUUCCCACAUUGCAAAAUUAAAUCCGUUAAGCAACAACUACAACUGCAACAGAAACAACAAUAAACCAAACACACAUAUUAUAAUUAAUUAAUUAACGUAUAUAUAAAUACGUUCAUAUAAACGGAUGGCAGAAACGCAAAAAAAAGACACCCACAACACACACACACACACGCGUAUAGAAAGCCAAGCAAAAUCGUAAAAAAAAAAAAGAUGGAGGAAAAACUACGAGCGAACACAAACAAAAAAAUUAAUUUUAAUUUAACAACCACUACAAGAGCAACAACAACGCUUGGCCCCGAAAGAUGCAACGUGUGCAGCAAAAAUCGUUUAAAAUGCAAAUUAAACGGAAACUGUGCGUCCAACUGGAGUGGCGGGGCAUCGCGCGGGUGCAGGGUGGUAUGGGUUGGCAGGAUGGCAGUAUGGCUGUAUGGCAGUAAGGUGGGCGUGCCAGCUCACCCAGCAAAAAAUGGCGCGCCUAUCAGCCCACCACCCACCGCCCAUAGCCCACACUCCGCCCCCGAAACGGAUGACAACACCGCGAGGGGGCGUACCACUUUUAAGUAAUGAGAAACCAACAAACGAACAAAAAACAAAAAAUUUUAAAUCACAAAUCUGCAUGAGGGGGAAAAAAACUAAUAAAAAAAAACGAUAAAGUUGAAAACAAAGCAAAAAUGUUGCAAUAAUAGCGAAAAUGUUAUUAUUUAAUUGCGUAUUAUUAAAUGCAAAUUAUUAUUACCAUUAUUAUUGCUAUUCUUAACGUAUCUAAGUUGUAACUUGUAAAGUUAAAGGCGAUAUAUAUAUACAUAUUAUAUAUACAAGAAUAUACACUCUUAUAUAUAUAUAAAGUAUAAACUGCAAUAUAUACAAAAGGAAAAUUACUUGAAUCAAAAACAAACAAAAAAACCAAGCAAAACCAUGAACAACAAAUAAUUGUAAUUUCAACGAUAAUUAUCGAUACAUAAGCCACUGACAAUUUCGAUAACUGGAGUGUUUGCAAAUGUUAAUUAAUCGGAUUGAUUUAGUCCGACUAACGGGACGAGUUCAUUUCAUUUCUCGAUUGGGGGCAUCUGGGUGGGGGUGAUGAAUCAAAUCAAAAUUGUGCUUACAAUUAUAUUUAUGAAUUUAUUUUAAAGUACAACAAAUCCUUUAUUGGCCAAAGUAAACAACAAAGAUACCACAAACAAAAGCAAAUGUGAAAUGCAAUUGCAAUUGCAAAGCAAAAGUCAAAGGCAAUUUGUUAUUAACUAUGUUGAAUUGAACUUCUCUUUCUCAUUAUUUCAUUAUAUUUAACAUGUAGGCGGUAACAAAUACCAAAAGAAAUAAAAGGAAUAAAACUUUUGUGUUCACAUUGAAAGCAAAAUGGUAAAUAAUGCUAAUUAAACAGCGGAUAGUUAGACAAAUAUGUUAAAGCAUUAAAUAUGACAAUGAAAGCAAAGUGAGAGAGUAAAUUUCUGUAACUCGAGGCAUAAAUCAAUUUAUUUGCUAAACAAAAUUAAGAACAAUGAAAUGAGAACAAAAAAUAAAUGAACUCCCUAAAUAAGUAAGGACACAGAAUUUUUGAAAAACAAAGAAAAAAAAAUAUUAAACACUUUACACACACUCAGACACAGAACACUCGAACACACUCAAACACACACAGAUCUUACUGAUAAAUCAAAAAGAGACACUUAAACAAAUUACUUUGUAAGAGCAUAUGCAAAUAUAACAAUGAACUAUUAUACAUACAACAUAUAGUACGAUUAAGUAAAUAAAAUAUUUAUAAAACAAACGCGCAAAAUCGCAAAUGUUUGAACAUUUAACUAAAUAUAUCUGUAAACAAGCAUGUAUAAAGGACGCGGAUGAGCCGGUUAAAAAUUUAAACAACAAAAAAAUUAACAUUAAAAUGAAAAAUGAACUUAAAACAAAAAAAGAACAAAAAAAAUGCAGGCCACUCUAUGUGCAAUUAAUUUUUUUCUAGUCGCUCCGCCCGGCGAUAUUGGCCCGGACGAUGGAUGUACUAGACGUAUUUGAGGAUAAUGACGAUGCAAUCGACGGGGCGUAAUAGAAAAAUAUAUUUAUAUACAACUAUAUGGAGUAUUAAAUUAUUGGAAAAGCAAACCAAACAAGAACCUAUCAGAUAGAUAAGUAAACGACAUUUGUUACACGCGCAGCAGCAGCAAGUGGGGUAAAAACUUUCGAAAAAAACAAAACAAAACAAAAAAUGUAGCAGAGAAAAAGAAAUAUUGUAUAAUUGACAGAACAACAAUACGAUGCGCUUUUUGUCUGUCUGAGAUUUUUUGCAUUAGGCGACGUAAAAUCAACAAAACAAAAAACAAACUAUAAAAAAACAAGACGAGCUGACAACUACAACUAAAAACAAAAGCAGUAGAAAACAAAAGCAAAUGCCGAAACAGAGAAAAUGUUCCUUUCAUAACUUUUUUGCCAAAUUGUCAAACCAACGCUCUCCAGGACUUUGCUGAAAAGUCUCGGACCAACAAACUUACAUACUUAUAACAUAUAUGUAUACCGUAGUGGGAAAUUGUGGGAGCCGAGGAAACCAAAACGUAACCAAAACAGAAACCCCUAAACAAAAAAUAAACCAAAAAUAAAUUAUAUGUAUGACUAGUUUUAAAGCAAAGCAAAUGAAAAACAAAAUAUGAAAUAGUUGCAGUGGAACAUAAACUACAUUUAACGUUUGAACUGUUGAUCUGAUGACCCCAAGAAUCCAAUCCCAUCCGAUAAAGGAUGGGAUGUAAUCCCACUCCCAGAGAACAUUUCAGAUUUUCCAAAGUCACUUUCGACGACUUUGUCAUGAACAUCCCACACUUUUCAAAAUUUAAAUAAUCAAAACGAACAUAUUGAUGAAGCAAAAAAGACAGAAAUCGUACAUUUUAGAUAGACAAAGAUCAGACCGGGGGAGUCUGGCAUAUCGGGUGUUUGAACGAAAGAUGACGAUGACCUUACUUUAGCGGGAACUCCUCUCGGCGGGUCGGAGGUCAUUGGCGAGAAUUCCAGAUGCUAUUUUUAAUGGGGAAGCGAGCGAUGACAGCAACGGUAAACAUGUUAUAUUUGCAUAAUAUAGGUAUAUACAUAUAUAUAAUACCUACGCUAAGGACUAUACAUACAUAUAUAUAUAAAUAUAUAAAUAAAUAUAUUUUUAAGACAUGUUCUAAAAGCAAUAAUUCAAAACAACAACAAACGGAGACGAAAGAAAAAAAAUAAACAAGCUGAGAAGCUAUGAGAAAAACCAAAAAGGAAUACAUUAAAUAUACACCAAUAUAUAAAUAUACAUAAAUAUAUAUACACCUACACGUAAAUAUAUAUACAUGCAUACAAGAAAUAUAUAUAUAGUAUUAUAUAUAUAUAUAUCAAUGAACUCGAUUAACUAAAGAGCAAGGUAUCGAUCUAGCUGAGAUCGAAUCGAUCUUCGACUGUCUUAGUGGAAAACCUUUUCAAGCCGAAUUAUUUCUCAGCUAUGCCCGAAAGUAUUGCCACACUACUUACUACAGCAUUCGUUUAGACUUGUAUGUAUUAUUUGUGGUCUAUAUAGUUGGUCGGAUCGCAGGAGGACAGUAGCUAAUGUCGUAGGACUUGUGAGCAUAGUUCCGGGUCCCUUUACGUUGUAAGUCGAUGCAGCUUUAAGUGUAAUGUUGAGUCCUUUCCAACAACUUCCCCUUUUCCCGCUUACGAUCGUUGCAUCUACAAUUCUACGCAUUCCGUUUGAUUUGUAGUGCUCUUUAUUCUAUAAGGAAGCUAAUGCCGCUAUAUAGACGAUCUACGCGAUACAAAUGUACUUGCUUAAAUAAAUAAAAUAUUGGUAUACCGGAUCAAAUUCAGAAGAGUUAAAGCCGAAGCAACAAGCAAUGCGUCCUUGUAACAAAAUCAAUUUCAGUCAAUUAGGAAAUUUCACACCAACAAAUCACAGAGAGCAACAUAAAGACAGCAACAGCAAAAAAUAAGAACAUUUUUUAACAAAAAAAGCAAAACAAAGACAAAAACAAAAAAACUGUUUUCAUUAUUUUUUUACUGAUGCGCCGUCCGAACGGAAUAGGUAGUCGAUUUAAAUGGUUCGACGGCGCUGGCGCAAAAGCUUUAAAUUGAACAAAAUAAGAGAAUAACACGAACAAGGAUAACAAUUUGUAGAAAUCGACAAGUGAGCUCUCCUUUUUAUAACGAGAACGAAGAAUUGUGUGUAUAGAAAGUAUGCCGUGACGAUCUUUUAAAAAUAAUGUACCCAUACUUUAAGCUAUACGCAAAUGUCAGUCGAAAUGUCAAUUGGUGGUCGAAAGCCAACGGUGGGAUGCUAAAUAAAUAACUUUAAGUAAUCCUAUCGAUGGCGGCACGAAAACGACAUAAUGUGUAAUGUAAAAUAGUUUUAAAUUAGCGACACACCAGAUGAUAAUAAGGAUUAUUGGGUUUGAGGCGGAGUUACGUAGUUACAUAUACGAAUUGCUUUCCGUUUUUCUCUUAUUAUUGACUUACAAACAUAUCAGUUCUUAUUAUGUGUAUGAGUAUAGCAACAACAUCAACAAAUACGAUUACAAUUACGAUAAAGAUUACGAUAAUGAAAUACAAUUUACUAAUAUCUAGCGCUAACGAACGAAGAUCCUUUCUUUUUACCAAAAAAAAAAAGGCAAAGAAGCAAGAAAAACCCAAAGUAAGACAAGCCGCCCAAUUGGAACUUUUGAGAAGCGCAUAGAGAGGCGCUAAAAGUAAAUGGCGCUUGGUAUGUGGAUUAAAAACCAUACACAAUACGAUUUGUGGGCCUUCUACACUUUGACGUGCUUUUAUACGAUAGAAAUCCUUUUACCUACACGAUCCAUUUCUGUCCUCGGUUCUUUUUUAUAAACAUGUGUACAUACACCUCACCAAAGCACAAACACACACACACAUACCCCAGUUACAUACACCAAUUCUACAACCAACCAACACCAAAAACAAGAAGACACAUGGAGCCACAGCGGACACAGCACAUUUACGAUGGAGAUCACAUACAAAAGAACCUUCAUACGAACGAUCGAUCACUUGACUAUUUUUGCUAUAAGUAAGAAAUUCCCCCCAGGAAUGUGUCAGUCGGAUGUGGCAGAACUCCUGCUGACAAAACACCUUUACUAUAUUGACAAUAUCUCUUAUAUAUUUUACACUAUACUAUAUGGAAAAUUAUAUAUUAAUAUAUACAACAAAAAUGAGGAAAACCAAAAACCUUAACAAAUAAUACAUAAUUGAGACAAGGCGAACUUGAGGCGUGAGUGGCGUUAAAAUUGUAUUUACAAGAAAUGCGUAACCAAAACAAGAUGAAAUCAUUUUAAUACUUUAUACACAUAAAAGUCAAAGGAAUCUUUAGAGACAAAACAAAAACCCAAAAAACAAAAACAAAUGCUAAGAAGGCAGAAAGUUAAAUAUGAAACUACAAGACCGAUGACAAGAGGAUGAAGAUUCAUUUAUAAAAUGCGCCAUAGCAGGGCGUCCAGUUUGUAAGUAUUCUAACUAUGUAAGUAAAGUAAUUAAGGAGCGCAGGACGAGAAUCAAUUAAACAUACAUACUGUCUAUGGAGCCGUGUAUGAGCUCCAGCAAUUUUCAGUGCGAAUACUUUAACACAACAAAUUAAACGAAAUUAAACGAUGAUAUAUGAUAUGGAAUCCAUUGGUAUGGUGGUUGAUGAUGGAUGUUGGAUGCGAUUGCCAAUGUGUGUACAUAAGGUCUAUAUAUACUGGUACAGUACUACACUUACAGCAAACUAUACAAGGUAAAAAACAUAAUAAUAAUAAUAAUUAACAGCAAGAAACCGCAGGCAAGCAGAUACAAAAAUACAGAGAAAAAAAAUCGAGAAACGGGAGUCACACACAUAAAUAGAAGCAUAACGAGAAUUUAAUAAACAAUUUUUUCAUUUCUAUAAAGAAAUCCGGUAACGAAUUUGUAUAUUUACUACGAAAAAAAAACAAAAAAUACCAAACCAAAAAUAAGAUGAAAAAUUCGAAAUAUAUACAAAAAUGAUAUAUGUUUAACGGAGAAGAAAUCCGUAAUGGCCGACAAGUAAAUAUGCCCGUAUAUACAUAUAUGAAAAUGAAAACCAAAACCAAAACGAUAUAUAUAUAUAUAUAUACAUAGUUAUAUAACCAAGAACAACAAAUAAACAUAUAGUUAAAUUCAAUAAUGUUAAGCAUUCGACAGGCAGACAGAUACGCAUACCGGUGGUUGAAGAAAUUCAAUUAUUUGUAAGGACCCUCGAACCGGACCGAACUAUGCGAACUACCAUUUUUACAGCCAACAACGACAGCAACAGCAACAUCAUCAGCAACAACAUCAACGCUAUAACAAAUGCAACAUUUAUUAACAGACGACACAAAAGGGCAAAUUGUUGCUCUUUUAAAUACACAUACUCGGACAGCUGGAAAAUUGCAUAAGUUUUUAACUCAAACAGACACACAGAUACAUCCACCCACACACACACACCCACAAAACACACAUCCAAUCGCCCACUCAGACAUCCCGCAAUAUGUAUAUGCAAAAAACAAAAAAAAAAGAGCUAACAACUUUAGCAGCAAAUUAAAAAUCACUUUGUUCACAAUGUGCCACGUACAGGGAGCGAUAAGAGAGUCGAGGGAAAGGAUAUGUAUCCCACAUAUAUAUCCCUCCUCGGGGCAGGUAAAGAUCGGCAGUGAAAUCGGCAGAAUCAGCAGCAGCAACAAAAAUCAGCAACCGCAUAUUAAACAAAAAAAAAAAACCUAAAACAUGAUUUUAAACAUAAUGAAAUUAAAUAAUGGCAUAAUAAGUUAAGCUAAUGGUACAUAAGUUUAAAAAACAAACGGCAAAGAAAUGCUCUAGAGCAACAAAAAAAAACAUGAAGAAGAAAAACCAAGACAAACAAAUAUAUAUAUAUAUAUAUAAUAUAAAAAUUAUAAUGAAAUAACUGAGAAAUAAAUAAAUUAAUUCAUAAUGAUAAAUAAACCAAUAUGAACAUUGUUCAAAAACAUAA